CAGCUCUGCAUCCCAUCUGCCAUGAGUUGAGCAGUCUGUAUACCCACCCCACCCCACCCACUCACCUCUGCCCAAAUGUAGUAAAACCCCUGAAACCAUGAGCAUAAUAAAUCUUUCUCCCACAAUAAAUAUUAGGUAUUUUGUCAAAAAAUAACAAAGCAAUUAGCUCAACUUUAUUAUUCACAUAUGUAUUUACUCUACUUGUAUAUUUUGUUUUAUUUUGAAGUAUGCUAUCAUCUAUAAAAAAACAAGUCUGGGGUGGUACAUUGCUUAUUAUCUAAUAAGACCACACCACUGAAGAUCAGAAUGCAAAUGCUAUAAAGGCCAGGCAGGGAGUGGCACACACCUUUAAUCCAGGGACUCAGGAAGAGGCAGAUGGGUCUCUGUGAGUUCAAGGCUACCCAGGGCUAUGUGAGAGUGAAUCAGUAUAAAAGAGAAACAGAACUCAUGCCUUUAAUGCCAGCACAAAAGAGUUUCAGAAAAGCAGAGAAAGGCUUUUAGGAUUCUGCUCCAUGUUGACAAGGCUCCAGCACAUAAUCUCUCAUAAUCUGUGAUGUCUAUCCCAGCAUGGAUAUGGUUUUUGCCAAUCCAAUCCCUUUUUGUAACAGGGUUUCUCUGUGUAGCUCUGGCUGUCCUAGAGUACACUAUGUAUACCAAACUGGUCUUGAACUCUCAGAGAUUUGCCUGUCUCUGCCUCCCAAGUGCUGAGGUUAAAGGGGUAUGCCAUCAUGCCUGGCCAAAGUCCCUUCUCUGAUCCAAUCAAUAAAAAAGGGAGUUACACCAGCAUUCUCACUAUAUGAGAAGGAUCCUUGCCUAGCUAUUGCUUCAACUAAAGAAGGUACUUCGAGGGUAUGGUACUGAAGACAUUCUUGAAAGAUCAUAAUGCCUAUAAGUGCAGCUCCCAGCUUGGGCUUGGGGUGAUGUCUCUAAGAAUUACACCAAGGGUGUCUAGAAUAAGAAGCUCAGCAGGUUCAUCUAUGACUUCGGUGGCUCACUAAGCAUGAGGAGGUUAAAGAAACCAAUGAGACUGUGCUAAGAUGUCAAACUUCUAAAUGUGGAUGAGAAUGAGAAUGCUACCAAGUAGCUCCUAGUGAUGUUUCAGAGGCGCUGACCAAUGAGGAGUGAUUGGCACACCUUGGGACUAUACAGAUGGAGAAGAAGCAAGGGACGGGAUAACUGAACAGAGUGCUACUCAAAAAAAACUCAGUAACUGCUUCAGCCAAAGCUUUAGAAGGCCUCAAUGGAUUCUCUAAAAAGUUUAAAACAUGUACCCUCAGCAUCAAAAACUUUUCUAUCAAUAGAGAAGGUGCAUGUUUUAUUUUCUGCUUACAAGCCAGUCUAUGGCAAAGAAAGGAAAGGAGAGAGAAAUGAAGUCAGUCACCAAGGACAUAUUUCUGAAAAGUUACACCUCCUCAGACAGCUUAUGGAGGUGUUGGUAAAGAAGCAUCCUCAUCACUGGGGAUAACAGCUCCAUGUGCACAUUGUCUCUGAGACCUUCAAGUGAAGAGAUGGCAGUGAUGGAAUGGAAAAUCUAGCACAUGCAGGCUUACAUCAAUGUGUAUUUAGAUUAGAUAUUUGAUCGCCUUGUAUGUAAGAAGGGGACACUGAAAAUUAAUGUACAGAGCUUAUUAAGGUGAGAUUAAGCAAUAGAUGUUCUGGAAUACAGCCUGAAAGUCUUAUCUUUUGGAGACAGACCUAGUGUUUCAGACCUAUAAUCCCAGCUAUUCUAGAGGCUGAGAAAGGAAGGUUACAAGUUCAAGGCCAGCCUGUGCAAUUUAGCAAGUGUACCAUGUUCAAAGACCCUAGAGUCAGUCUACAAUACUUAUCUUUUGAAACAGUCAUGUUUCACAGAAAAUAUUAUUCAAAUCAUCAUUCUGUAGCAUGAACAUCUUGCUCUCUGUCUCUUUGGUGAUGAAUGGGAAGGGAAGUUCUAGAAGUUGUAUGCACAUCCAUUUCCCAUUAUCUCCAACAUUUAUUCAGCUUGGUACCUUAAUUCUCACUCAUGUUCAUUCAGAGACCUUCUGUUUAAAAUCUCUGCAAAAAAUAAAGCUUCGGUGUUCUUCAGACAGUCAAGCCAUGUGCUUUUCUCAAGGUGUGUGUAUGAGUGUGUGUGUGUGUGUGUGUGUGUGUGUGUGUGUGUGUGUGUGUUGUAUUUUGUCUCGGGGACAAGGUCUCUGGAUGUAGCCUAAGCUGAUGUGGAACUUACUAGGCAGCCCAUCCUGGCCUCAGACAUGAUCCUCCAGUCUCCAUCUUGAAUACUGGGAUAACAUAUGUGUGCCAACAUACCUGGGUGUCACCUAUUGUGAUUUAGCCCAACCUUCAUAGAUCAAGUGUGCCAUUGACCAAGGUUUAUGGGGUAGGGGAGGGGGACUGGCAGCUGUAAAUGUUGUUGCUUCUUGGUUGUCCCUUGCUGGCUGAAGAUUCAGUGCUCUCUGAAUCCUCUAACCACCUGACUAUCUGUUUCCUA
rnacentral:lncRNA from 1 species